GGGCUGGGGGUAACGGGUAACUCCUUGAGUGCUUCCAGGCAGCGCCGCACCGGCUGCAGCGUGGCAGCACUUUAGCUGGAUGCGGGCAGGACCGGUGCCAGGCAUGUCCCGGUCUGCGCAGCAUCAAACCAUGAGGGCCAAGAGAAACAACGCAGCCCUUCCUAGAAAUGCGCUCUGGAGCUUAAAAGAUGGACCUAAUUGAAAAAAUGUAUUGAAGUUGUACCAGGGGAUAAAAGGGAAAAGCUGGGCUGAGAUUAACCUGGAGCUCAGCGAGCCGAGAAGCGCAGCAGCCGCGGCCAGGUCCCUAAGCCAAUUCCCAGCCACGGCCUCCCAGCCGCCCACUGAAUCCAUGCCCGGCAGGGAGGUGGUUUGCUCUGGAUGCAGGUCUGGCAGGAGAGCCCGGCACGCUCUGGUUUUGUGCUUCAGGGCACGACUGGUCCUGAGUGGGAACUCCCCACCCAGCCUCGCACCCCCACUCCCCUCCUGCAUCCGAGAGCGGCCAAGCACGGUGUGGAGGUGGGAUGCGACGGCGGGCAUCGUGCCUCCAGCUCCUAGGACCGGCACCAGCGGUGAGGACCAGCGGUGGGGCUGGGGACCUGGGUCCCGCUAAGAGGAUGAAAACAUGGGGCUCAAGUUAUCCUGCCUGAAAGGCUUGAAGACGUGCGUGAGCAGCGGGAACGGCAACGACAGGACCCCGGCGGCAUCCCCAGGCGAGAAGAACCUGCACGUGCCCUCCAUCAUCGUCACGCCGCCCACGCCCACGGGGACCAUGCUGUCCCGCGAGACCCGGCGGGUGGGGGGGCCACCGCCGUGCAGCCAGUGCUGAGCACGGGCACCGGGGAGGGGGAAUCCGUCCCCACUCCACCGGGAUGGAGCCACAGCCGCCGGGAUGCAAACUGGCUGGACCCAGCACCCCGGGAGCUCCCCGGGGACACGCCGGGCACCCAUCACACGGGUGGGUUUGGACACCGGUGACUGUUUUUUCUCUUUUUUCCUAAAAGCACCGGGGAGGGGGUGGCAUCGCGCGGCAUCUCCCCGGUGAAUAAAACCCCUGGGGCUCUGCACCCCCCCAGGUUUGGCACCCA